rnacentral:rRNA from 1 species
GCAGCCGCGGUAAUACGGGGGAUGCAAGCGUUAUCCGGAUUUAUUGGGUUUAAAGGGUGCGUAGGCGGUCAUGUAAGUCAGCGGUGAAAUUUCCGAGCUCAACUUGGAACGUGCCGUUGAUACUGCUUGACUGGAAUGCGGAUGCCGUGGGAGGAAUGUGUGGUGUAGCGGUGAAAUGCAUAGAUAUCACACAGAACACCGAUUGCGAAGGCAUCUCACGAAUCCGCUAUUGACGCUGAGGCACGAAAGCGUGGGGAUCAAACAGGAUUAGAUACCCC